AGAUGUGAAGGCGAUCUGGCUGCGACAUCUGUCACCCCAUUGAUUGUCAGGGUUGAUUCGGCUGAUCUGACUGGCUAGGCGGGUGUCCCCUUCCUCCCUCACCGCUCCAUGUGCGUCCCUCCUGAAGCUGUGCUGCCUUCCCCGAACAGAGACAGUCUUCGGUUGAGGGUUUAUGAGUCACUGUGCUCUCCUGCUAAAACCUCCAAACAAGCUCUCAAGGAAGACUGAGCCAGAGGUGGCCAAAUGAGUGGAGUACUUACAAGCUUGGGGGUCCCAGGGUCAAGCCCUGGCACCGCAU
ensembl:misc_RNA 7SK 7SK RNA